rnacentral:rRNA from 1 species
GCCUACGGGAGGCAGCAGUGAGGAAUAUUGGUCAAUGGGCGGGAGCCUGAACCAGCCAAGUCGCGUGAGGGAAGACGGUCCUAUGGAUUGUAAACCUCUUUAGGCGGGGAGCAAUGCCGGGCACGUGUGCCCGGAGGGAGAGUACCCGCAGAAUAAGCAUCGGCUAACUCCGUGCCAGCAGCCGCGGUAAUACGGAGGGUGCGGGCGUUAAUCGGAAUUACUGGGCGUAAAGCGCUCGGAGGCGGGAU